AGAGGAAUAUGUGAAAUUACUGCUAAUAAUUUUUAGUCAAUUUAGUUUGACUUUCUCUU
rnacentral:tRNA from 1 species